GUCGGGUUCGGGAUGAAGUGGUUGACCCGGUCGCCGAUCACUGCGAAGGUGCGCUUGCCUUCUUUAAGCAUCUGCACCCCACGGCGUUUGAACUCCUU
rfam:Mycobacterium holsaticum strain M7 PROKKA_contig000206, whole genome shotgun sequence.